rnacentral:rRNA from 1 species
AGAGUUUGAUCAUGGCUCAGGAUAAACGCUGGCGGCGCACAUAAGACAUGCAAGUCGAACGGACUUAGGCUCAUUCAUUACGAUUGAGAACGGUUAGUGGCGGACUGGUGAGUAACGCGUGAGCAACCUACCUAUAAGAGGGGAACAACAGUUAGAAAUGACUGCUAAUACCGCAUAAGCUCACAGCAACACAAGUUGCAGUGAGAAAAGGAGCAAUCCGCUUAUAGAUGGGCUCGCGUCUGAUUAGAUAGUUGGUGGGGUAAAGGCCUACCAAGUCGACGAUCAGUAGCCGGACUGAGAGGUUGAACGGCCACAUUGGGACUGAGAUACGGCCCAGACUCCUACGGGAGGCAGCAGUCGGGAAUAUUGCGCAAUGGAGGGAACUCUGACGCAGUGACGCCGCGUAUAGGAAGAAGUUUUUCGGAAUGUAAACUAUUGUCGUUAGGGAAGAGAAAGGACGGUACCUAAGGAGGAAGCCCCGGCUAACUAUGUGCCAGCAGCCGCGGUAAUACAUAGGGGGCGAGCGUUAUCCGGAAUUAUUGGGUGUAAAGGGUGCGUAGACGGGGAUGUAAGUUAGUUGUGAAAGCCCUAGGCUUAACUUAGGAAUUGCAACUAAAACUAUGUUUCUUGAGUGCUGGAGAGGAAAGUGGAAUUCCUAGUGUAGCGGUGAAAUGCGUAGAUAUUAGGAGGAACACCGGUGGCGAAGGCGACUUUUCUGGACAGUAACUGACGUUGAGGCACGAAAGUGUGGGGAGCAAACAGGAUUAGAUACCCUGGUAGUCCACACCGUAAAACGAUGG